AACGCUAGCUACAGGCUUAACACAUGCAAGUCGAGGGGAAACGAUAUUGGAAGCUUGCUUCCGAUAGGCGUCGACCGGCGCACGGGUGAGUAACGCGUAUCCAACCUGCCCAUCACUUGGGAAUAACCUUGCGAAAGUAAGACUAAUGCCCAAUGACAUUUAUAGAAGGCAUCUGAAAUGAAUUAAAGAUUUAUCGGUGAUGGAUGGGGAUGCGUCUGAUUAGCUUGUUGGCGGGGUAACGGCCCACCAAGGCGACGAUCAGUAGGGGUUCUGAGAGGAAGGUCCCCCACAUUGGAACUGAGACACGGUCCAAACUCCUACGGGAGGCAGCAGUGAGGAAUAUUGGUCAAUGGGCGAGAGCCUGAACCAGCCAAGUAGCGUGCAGGAAGACGGCCCUAUGGGUUGUAAACUGCUUUUAUAGGGGAAUAAAGUGAGCCACGUGUGGUUUUUUGCAUGUACCCUAUGAAUAAGGACCGGCUAAUUCCGUGCCAGCAGCCGCGGUAAUACGGAAGGUCCGGGCGUUAUCCGGAUUUAUUGGGUUUAAAGGGAGCGUAGGCCGGAGAUUAAGCGUGUUGUGAAAUGUAGACGCUCAACGUCUGCACUGCAGCGCGAACUGGUUUCCUUGAGUACGCAUAAAGUGGGCGGAAUUCGUGGUGUAGCGGUGAAAUGCUUAGAUAUCACGAAGAACUCCGAUUG
rnacentral:rRNA from 1 species